rnacentral:rRNA from 1 species
GCAGUCGAACGGAAAGGCCCCUUCGGGGGUACUCGAGUGGCGAACGGGUGAGUAACACGUGGGUGAUCUGCCCUGCACUUUGGGAUAAGCCUGGGAAACUGGGUCUAAUACCGAAUAGGACUCCGGACUGCAUGGUCUGGGGUGGAAAGCUUUUGCGGUGUGGGAUGGGCCCGCGGCCUAUCAGCUUGUUGGUGGGGUGAUGGCCUACCAAGGCGACGACGGGUAGCCGGCCUGAGAGGGUGUCCGGCCACACUGGGACUGAGAUACGGCCCAGACUCCUACGGGAGGCAGCAGUGGGGAAUAUUGCACAAUGGGCGCAAGCCUGAUGCAGCGACGCCGCGUGAGGGAUGACGGCCUUCGGGUUGUAAACCUCUUUCGCCAGGGACGAAGCGCAAGUGACGGUACCUGGAGAAGAAGCACCGGCCAACUACGUGCCAGCAGCCGCGGUAAUACGUAGGGUGCGAGCGUUGUCCGGAAUUACUGGGCGUAAAGAGCUCGUAGGUGGUUUGUCGCGUUGUUCGUGAAAACUCACAGCUUAACUGUGGGCGUGCGGGCGAUACGGGCAGACUGGAGUACUGCAGGGGAGACUGGAAUUCCUGGUGUAGCGGUGGAAUGCGCAGAUAUCAGGAGGAACACCGGUGGCGAAGGCGGGUCUCUGGGCAGUAACUGACGCUGAGGAGCGAAAGCGUGGGGAGCGAACAGGAUUAGAUACCCUGGUAGUCCACGCCGUAAACGGUGGGUACUAGGUGUGGGUUUCCUUCCUUGGGAUCCGUGCCGUAGCUAACGCAUUAAGUACCCCGCCUGGGGAGUACGGCCGCAAGGCUAAAACUCAAAGGAAUUGACGGGGGCCCGCACAAGCGGCGGAGCAUGUGGAUUAAUUCGAUGCAACGCGAAGAACCUUACCUGGGUUUGACAUGCACAGGACGCCGGCAGAGAUGUCGGUUCCCUUGUGGCCUGUGUGCAGGUGGUGCAUGGCUGUCGUCAGCUCGUGUCGUGAGAUGUUGGGUUAAGUCCCGCAACGAGCGCAACCCUUGUCUCAUGUUGCCAGCACGUUAUGGUGGGGACUCGUGAGAGACUGCCGGGGUCAACUCGGAGGAAGGUGGGGAUGACGUCAAGUCAUCAUGCCCCUUAUGUCCAGGGCUUCACACAUGCUACAAUGGCCGGUACAAAGGGCUGCGAUGCCGUGAGGUGGAGCGAAUCCUUUCAAAGCCGGUCUCAGUUCGGAUCGGGGUCUGCAACUCGACCCCGUGAAGUCGGAGUCGCUAGUAAUCGCAGAUCAGCAACGCUGCGGUGAAUACGUUCCCGGGCCUUGUACACACCGCCCGUCACGUCAUGAAAGUCGGUAACACCCGAAGCCGGUGGCCUAACCCUUGGGAGGAGCC